rnacentral:rRNA from 1 species
CCUACGUGGGGCUGCAGUGAGGAAUAUUGGACAAUGGAUGGAAAUCUGAUCCAGCCAUGCCGCGUGCAGGAAGACAGCCCUAUGGGUUGUAAACUGCUUUUAUAUGGGAGCAAUAAGGUCUACGUGUAGACUGAUGAGAGUACCAUAUGAAUAAGCAUCGGCUAACUCCGUGCCAGCAGCCGCGGUAAUACGGAGGAUGCGAGCGUUAUCCGGAUUAAUUGGGUUGAAAGGGUGCGUAGGCGGCCGAGGAGAAAUUUUGCAGCUUAACUGUAACAGUGCCGUUGAUACUGCAUGGCUAGGAUUUGGUUGCUGUGGGUGGAAUGUGUGGUGUAGCGGUGAAAUGCUUAGAUAUCACACAGAAUAUCAAUUGCGAAGGCAGCUCACAAAGCCAAGAUUGACGCUGAGGCACGAAAGUGUGGGGAUCAAACAGGAUUAGAUACCCCUGUAGUC